rnacentral:rRNA from 1 species
UACGAAGGGGGCUAGCGUUGCUCAGAAUCACUGGGCGUAAAGCGCACGUAGGCGGAUUUCUAAGUCAGGGGUGAAAUCCUGGAGCUCAACUCCAGAACUGCCUUUGAUACUGGGAAUCUUCGAGUCCGGGAGAGGUGAGUGGAACUGCGAGUGUAGAGGUGAAAUUCGUAGAUAUUCGCAAGAACACCAGUGGCGAAGGCGGCUCACUGGCCCGGUACUGACGCUGAGGUGCGAAAGCGUGGGGAGCAAACAGG